GGAUGGGUGGCCGAGUGGACGAAGGCGGCAGUCUUGAAAACUGCAGUACGGGUAACCGUACCGGGGGUUCGAAUCCCUCCCCAUCCG
rnacentral:tRNA from 1 species